AAAAGUGAAAGACGGUCUUGCUGUCACUUAUAGAUGGAUCCGCGCUGCAUUAGCUAGUUGGUAAGGUAACGGCUUACCAAGGCAACGAUGCAUAGCCGACCUGAGAGGGUGAUCGGCCACACUGGAACUGAGACACGGUCCAGACUCCUACGGGAGGCAGCAGUAGGGAAUCUUCCGCAAUGGGCGAAAGCCUGACGGAGCAACGCCGCGUGAGUGAUGAAGGUCUUCGGAUCGUAAAACUCUGUUAUUAGGGAAGAACAUAUGUGUAAGUAACUGUGCACAUCUUGACGGUACCUAAUCAGAAAGCCACGGCUAACUACGUGCCAGCAGCCGCGGUAAUACGUAGGUGGCAAGCGUUAUCCGGAAUUAUUGGGCGUAAAGCGCGCGUAGGCGGUUUUUUAAGUCUGAUGUGAAAGCCCACGGCUCAACCGUGGAGGGUCAUUGGAAACUGGAAAACUUGAGUGCAGAAGAGGAAAGUGGAAUUCCAUGUGUAGCGGUGAAAUGCGCAGAGAUAUGGAGGAACACCAGUGGCGAAGGCGACUUUCUGGUCUGUAACUGACGCUGAUGUGCGAAAGCGUGGGGAUCAAACAGGAUUAGAUACCCCGGUAGUCCACGCCGUAAACGAUGAGUGCUAAGUGUUAGGGGGUUUCCGCCCCUUAGUGCUGCAGCUAACGCAUUAAGCACUCCGCCUGGGGAGUACGACCGCAAGGUUGAAACUCAAAGGAAUUGACGGGGACCCGCACAAGCGGUGGAGCAUGUGGUUUAAUUCGAAGCAACGCGAAGAACCUUACCAAAUCUUGACAUCCUUUGACAACUCUAGAGAUAGAGCUUUCCCCUUCGGGGGACAAAGUGACAGGUGGUGCAUGGUUGUCGUCAGCUCGUGUCGUGAGAUGUUGGGUUAAGUCCCGCAACGAGCGCAACCCUUAAGCUUAGUUGCCAUCAUUAAGUUGGGCACUCUAAGUUGACUGCCGGUGACAAACCGGAGGAAGGUGGGGAUGACGUCAAAUCAUCAUGCCCCUUAUGAUUUGGGCUACACACGUGCUACAAUGGACAAUACAAAGGGCAGCGAAACCGUGAGGUCAAGCAAAUCCCAUAAAGUUGUUCUCAGUUCGGAUUGUAGUCUGCAACUCGACUACAUGAAGCUGGAAUCGCUAGUAAUCGUAGAUCAGCAUGCUACGGUGAAUACGUUCCCGGGUCUUGUACACACCGCCCGUCACACCACGAGAGUUUGUAACACCCGAAGCCGGUGGAGUAACCUUUUAGGAGCUAGCCGUCGAAGGUGGGACAAAUGAUUGGGGUGAAGUCGUAACAAGGUAGCCGUAUCGGAAGGUGCGGCUGGAUCACCUCCUUU
rnacentral:rRNA from 1 species